AUGGCAACUCAGGAGGAGGAGUCUCUGCGAGGUCAGGUGAAGGAUCUGGAGGAAAAGUUAGAGACUCUGAGGAUGAAGAGGACAGAGGACAAGGUACCGUUAUUACUAUCAUGUUUAUUCAUAUACCUAAUUAUGAUUAUUAUUAUGUUUAUUAUGAUUUACAUAUUGUUAUUUCCGGUGGUAUGCAUUGAAACGUGUGGCUUUUUUUUUGCAAAAUAACUAUGAAUUGACAGACUUGUUUUCUAAUAAUUGUCAACAUAUAACAUCACUUUAUUUCAAGGAACCAUAGCAGGUCUGGGGGGGAAUGAGGGAUGGUUCACAGGGGUUUCUGGGUGGGAAGUGACCAAUGGGUGGGUUUCUGGGUGGGGAGUGACCAAUGGGUGGGUUUCUGGGUGGUGAACGA
rnacentral:lncRNA from 13 species